rnacentral:tRNA from 1 species
GCCCCAGUAGCUCAAAUGGAUAGAGCAACUCCCUCCUAAGGAGUAGGUUGGCGGUUCGAGUCCGUUCUGGGGCA